GAAAAGGCAAGUUUAACCACGUUGCUCUAAAGCACUAGCCCCUUUCAGGUUUCGGACACGUGGCCUCUCUGGCUGAAUGGACAGAAAGUCUGAAUGUGCGACUUCUUGGCAGAUACUGCAUCUUCAGCCAGGAGAAGUUGGCUUAGUACAAAAGGGCUUUUGAAGCGGAAACUACAAGAAGAUGCAUCUGUCUUAAAAAAUAAUAAACCAAGAAAAUAAAAGAUAUGGGAUCCUAGAAAUAAAAGGUGCAACACGAGAGAGAGAUAAAGAAAAACAUUGACAACCUCUCUAUGAAGAAAGACCCAAAAUAACAACUUUGCAACAGCUCUAGAGAAUAAUUUGUUCAGAUAAGAGUAACUCAGGAGACUCCAAGAGCAAUUUUCAAGAAGAUUAAAUCUAUAGAAUACCUAAUAUGUUUGCAUGUGUAGAGAAGAGAUUUAUACUACUUGGAGAGAAUUUAGCAGUUCAUCUAUGAAUAUCAUUUGCAUAGAUACAGUGUUCGCUAAAUAUUUCUAUAGCCUAAGGAAGAUGGUGAAUGAGAAGUGUGCUUGUGUGUGGCAAGGAAGAAGAGGAUUUACCAAGUGGGAAUCCAUGGUCAAAUGCUUAAGACUUAGCAGGGCAUUUACCAAGUGGGAAGUCAAUGGGCAAAUGCUUAAGACUUAGUAAUCAGAAUGCAAAUAUGUAAGUACAUGUAGAGGCAAAACAUAGCAUUGUAGUUAUGUGCGCAGAUGCUGGAGUGAGACUCUCUGGG
rnacentral:lncRNA from 1 species